CGCGCGGAAAACGAGGCGGAACUUCCGGGUCGGGGGCUGGGCGGAUCGCUGCAGGCGAGGGGCGGGGCGAGGAGCGUCCGGGUCUGCAGGGCGAGACAUCCUGGAAAUUUUGAGGAUUUGGGUCACUUUGCGCUCCCCCUCCGGAUGCGAGGAAAACAUGCACUGGGCGCAGUGGAGAAGAGGAAGCUGCCGGGUUCCGCGGACCAGGGGCACUGCUGUGGCGGGGCUCCCCAUCGCCAUGCCCGCAGAGGCGGCCGGCCUUCCCAGCUGGAAGGCCAAACUCCACAUGGCUCGGUUCCAGAGACACAAGGUCAAAACCUACAGUCUGAGACUGGAGGACUAAGGUAUCUCUCCUGGCGCAAUGGUAAAGAAUCCACAGGCAAAUGUGGAAGACAUGGGUUCUGCUCCAGGAUAAUGCCACAUGCCUCGGGGCAACUAAGACCAAGUGACACAACUACUGAGCCUGUGCUGUAACGCCCAAGAGCCCAAACUACUAGGCUCAUGUGCUGAAACUACUGAAGC